rnacentral:rRNA from 1 species
UAAUACGAAGGGGGCUAGCGUUGUUCGGAAUUACUGGGCGUAAAGGGCGUGUAGGCGGCCCGCUAAGUCAGGUGUGAAAGGCCUGGGCUCAACCCAGGAAAUGCGCCUGAGACUGACGGGCUUGAAUCCGGGAGAGGAUGGUGGAACUCCCAGUGUAGAGGUGAAAUUCGUAGAUAUUGGGAAGAACACCCGUGGCGAAGGCGGCCAUCUGGACCGGUAUUGACGCUAAGGCGCGACAGCGUGGGGAGCAAACAGG